CUCCAGAUGUUGCUGAACUACAACUCCCAUGAUUCUAUGAAUGAAAAAGAUAGGCUGAGAAUCAUGGGAGUUGUAGUUCAGCAACAUCUGGAG
rnacentral:miRNA from 1 species